UACAGGGGGGGCAAGCGUUGUUCGGAAUUACUGGGCGUAAAGGGCUCGUAGGCGGCCAACUAAGUCCGACGUGAAAUCCCAAAGCUUAACUUUGGAACUGCGUCGGAUACUGGAUGGCUUGAAUUCGGGAGAGGGAUGCAGAAUUCCAGGUGUAGCGGUGGAAUGCGUAGAGAUCCGGAAGAACACCGGAGGCGAAGGCGGCUUGCUGGGCGUAGUCUGACGCUGAGGCGCGAAAGCGUGGGGAGCGAACAGG
rnacentral:rRNA from 1 species